rnacentral:misc_RNA from 1 species
UUAAGUUCAGCGGGUAUCCCUACCUGAUCCGAGGUCAACCUGGAUAAAAAUUUGGGUUGAUCGGCAAGCGCCGGCCGGGCCUACAGAGCGGGUGACAAAGCCCCAUACGCUCGAGGACCGGACGCGGUGCCGCCGCUGCCUUUCGGGCCCGUCCCCCGGAAUCGGAGGACGGGGCCCAACACACAAGCCGGGCUUGAGGG